GUCCCAUGUUGCACUAUCCAAUAUGAUAGUCACUAGGCACAUGGGCUGUUGAACAAUAGAAAUAUGGCUAAUGUAAUUGAGAAACUGAAAAUGUAAUUUACAUGUACAUUUAAGAUGAAAUAGCCAGACAUGGCUACUAUUAUAAUGGACAACACAUUUUUACAAAUUAUGAGUUGACUUUAUUAUACCAGCCUCUAUCUCAUACUUCCUUAUUAUCUUCAAAACACAAUCGAUCAGGAACAAAAACGUAAUCUCAAGCUUCUAGAAAUUUGGCACACUCACCAAAGAACUGAAUACUCCUUUGCAGUCAGACCAUGUGUUCCAGACAACAUAACUAGAAAGAUGUGAGAAGGCACUUCAUGUGGGAGAUAAGCCUUGUUUUACUUAAUCCACUGAGAUGUCAGAGUUAAUUGUUACAGCAGCAGCCUGUUGUAUAGGCUGACUAACACAUGGUAACUAACAGAACACUUUGGAUUCUUGACAAAAUAAGAGCAAGAAAGCAGCAGCAGAAGCAGAAAUCAGAGGGGCGAGAAACCAAAAGCAACAGAGCAAGAUCUACUCUCUACACAUCGACAUCCUGCUCUCUUCCAGGGAGAGUAACCUACAUGAACCAUACCAGUGGUUCCCAUCCAGGACAGUUCCCACUCACCUCCCCAUGGACAUUUG
rnacentral:lncRNA from 10 species